CCGGGAGGUUCCCCCUCCUUGGCUGUUGCAGAGAGGGCCCCGGGGUCUCUGCGGGCUCGGGGUCCCCUCGGGCUGGGCUCCGGUGCUGUCCGGCAGCCGCCGGUGUGGCACCCGCUGCCCGCGGGCCCAUGGCCCCGUGGCCGGGCUCGCCGGGCCUCCCCAGCCCUGCCACGGUUAUUCUUCAGCUCUGGAAGUGCCCCUGGGCCACGCUGAGGGAGUCUAAAGAAAACAGCAAUCAAUUAUGAAAGCCUUACAUUUAAUUAGCACAAUCAAACAGGUUCUUGCUCUUUUCCGAGUAUCUUUGCAGCUGUGUAAUCCUUAGGCGCUGCCUUGUGAGCUUCAUUUGGAAACUGCUCUGGAAUGACCCAUCUUGACAGCACCGUGGAUGCUGUUCCAGGUGGCCUAACACAGAUUAGAAAUGGAAUUCACGCCUGCUGUCUCCUGAGCUGGAAAGAAGGGGCAUAUACAUUCCAAUAAAGCUUUGAAAUACGGA